rfam:Gossypium arboreum cultivar AKA8401 contig_170357_1, whole genome shotgun sequence.
AGGAGCCGUGCGAGAUGAAAGUCUCAUGCACGGUUUUGAAUGAGUGAAAGAAGUGAGGAAUCCUCUUUUUGACUUUGA